UGGGGGUGGCUUUGGCGAGUGGCUGGCGGGGCUGACGUGGGCAGCAAACUUGUUCCCAUAGGUCUCGGAGAGAUACGCCUGAACCUUCUUAUCCCGCGACUUCUGCAGGUGGUAGGUGGUGGGGUUCUCCAGGUAGGACUGCACCUUGAGGACCUCUCCAGGCACGGGCGGUGGGGACUGGUAAUGGAUGGGGGUGUUGAUGGCAGGGCUGGAGGCCACAGGCAUGCGCUGCUGCUGCAUGUAGUUCAUCAUCAGCUGCUGCUGCGCGCGCUCCCGCUCGGCCUCCUGCUGUGCUUGCUGCUUCAUCAGCUCCAUCCGCAGCCCGAUGCGGGACGCCAUGGUGCAGUGGGGCAGUGGGACGCAGGCCAGGCACGGAGGUGACCCCCGCGGCUGCGGGCGGAGGGAACGCGGAACCCCGCGGGGCGGCAGCGCGGGGCGGCCCGGCCCGGCUCUGCUCGGAUCCGCUCGGCUCUGCCCGGCCCGGCCCGGUCCCGCUGCCGGCCGCGGCCUCCGCUGCUCCCGUGCCAAAGGAGGGCAGCACUGCCCGCCCGGCCCGGCCCGGCCCGGCUCAGCACGGCCCGCUCCGCAGCACGCCGGGAGCUGUAGUCCGGAGCGGGGCAGGGCUGCCUGCCGGGACUUGUAGUCCCCGUC
rnacentral:lncRNA from 1 species